GACGAACGCUGGCGGCGUGCUUAACACAUGCAAGUCGAACGGAAAGGCCCUGCUUUUGUGGGGUGCUCGAGUGGCGAACGGGUGAGUAACACGUGAGUAACCUGCCCUUGACUUUGGGAUAACUUCAGGAAACUGGGGCUAAUACCAGAUAGGAGCUCCUGCUGCAUGGUGGGGGUCGGAAAGUUUCGGCGGUUGGGGAUGGACUCGCGGCUUAUCAGCUUGUUGGUGGGGUAGUGGCUUGCCAAGGCUUUGACGGGUAGCCGGCCUGAGAGGGUGACCGGCCACAUUGGGACUGAGAUACGGCCCAGACUCCUACGGGAGGCAGCAGUGGGGAAUAUUGCACAAUGGGCGGAAGCCUGAUGCAGCAACGCCGCGUGCGGGAUGACGGCCUUCGGGUUGUAAACCGCUUUCGCCUGUGACGAAGCGUGAGUGACGGUAAUGGGUAAAGAAGCACCGGCUAACUACGUG
rnacentral:rRNA from 1 species